rfam:Acyrthosiphon pisum strain LSR1 Contig2444, whole genome shotgun sequence.
CCGAACGCCGAGUUAAGGCGCCGAAAUCGACGCGUAUUCAGAGACCAUGAAAGGCGUUGGUUGCUGAUGACAGCAGGACGGUGGCCAUGGAAGUCGGAAUCCGCUAAGGAGUGUGUAACAACUCACCUGCCGAAGCAACUAGCUCUGAAAAUGGAUGGCGCUGGAGCGUCGUGCCUAUACUCGGCCGUCGACGGCAUAGUGGGGCCAGUCGUCGCUCGCGGCGGCCGGUCCCGGCAAGCCUCGACGAGUAGGAUGGCGCGGCGGUGUGCGUCGAAGGGCAGGUCGCGAGACCGCCUGGAGCCGCCGUCGGUGCAGAUCUUGGUGGUAGUAGCAAAUACUCGAGAGGGGCCCUCGGGGGCUGCCGUGGAGAAGGGUUUCUUGUGAACAGCCGUUGUCCAAGAGUCAGUCGAUCCUAAGCCCGGGGAGAGAUCCUCGUACCACGGGCGAAGGCGUUUUCGAAUCGCCCUUGGGGCGAGAGGGAAUCCGGUUCGUAUUCCGGAACCCGACGCGGAACCGCUCCCUAGUGUUCGGGGCUCUUUUGUCUCGUCUGGGUAACCAGAAUGAACUCGAAGAAGCCGCCGGGGGAUCUGGGUAGAGUUCUCUUUUCUCUGUGAGCGUUGUACGUCCCUGGAAUCCUCUAGCCGGGCGAUAGGGACGCGAGCGCGAAGAGCACCGCUCGUUGCGGCGGUGUCCGUGAUCCCCACGCGGACCUUGAAAAUUCGAGAGAGGGCCACGCGGAGUCUUCGCGUCGGUUCGUACCGAUAUCCGCAGCAGGUCUCCGAGGUGAGCAGCCUCUAGCCGCAUAGAAUAAUUGUAGGUAAGGGAAGUCGGCAAAACCGAUCCGUAACUUCGGGAUAAGGAUUGGCUCUGAGGAGCGUGGCUGCCGGGUUCGGGUCGUCGUAGAAGCGUAGGCGUUUUUGGCGACACCCCGGCCGUCGCCCGUGCGCCCGGUCUUCGGAACGGGAGCCUCGAGGCGGCCGCGGGCCCGUCGCCGUCCGCCGACCGUGGAACCACCGAGCUUCGGUCGCUGGCCGCGUCGCGGCCGGCCGACCGCCUUGGUGUCGGUUCGCCGUCACCGGGCGGUCCGGCCGCCGCGCCGUCGGUCGCGUAGCCGGAUCGACAGCCAUGUAACGGUCAACUCAGAACUGGCACGGACCAGGGGAAUCCGACUGUCUAAUUAAAACAAAGCAUCGCGAUGGCCCGGGACGGGUGUUGACGCGAUGUGAUUUCUGCCCAGUGCUCUGAAUGUCAACGUGAAGAAAUUCAAGCAAGCGCGGGUAAACGGCAGGAGUAACUAUGACUCUUUUAAGGUAGCCAAAUGCCUCGUCAUCUAAUUAGUGACGCGCAUGAAUGGAUUAACGAGAUUCUCACUGUCCCUAUCUACUAUCUAGCGAAACCACAGCCAAGGGAACGGGCUUGGAAAAAUCAGCGGGGAAAGAAGACCCUGUUGAGCUUGACUCUAAUCUGGCAUUGUUCGGAGACAUGCCGAGGUGUAGCAUACGUGGGAGACCCGGACCAGGCGGGCGGUUUCGACGUUCGUCUCCGGGCCGACCUUGAAAUACCACUACUCGCAUCGUUUCCCACUUACU